GCAUCUGUAGCUCAGUGGAUUAGAGCACUUCGCUUCGGACGAAGGGGUCGGGGGUUCGAAUCCCUCCAGAUGCAC
rnacentral:tRNA from 1 species